AUAUCAAUAAGCGGAGGAAAAGAAACUAACAAGGAUUCCCCUAGUAACUGCGAGUGAAGCGGGAAGAGCUCAAAUUUGUAAUCUGCCGUAUGGCCGAGUUGUAAUCUGGAGAAGCGUUAUCAGAUGUCGACCGCAUUAAAGUCUCUUGGAACAGGGCGUCACAGAGGGUGAGAAUCCCGUGAGUAAUGCGGCUGCGGCGUUGUAGAGGCGGUCUCGACGAGUCGAGUUGUUUGGGAAUGCAGCUCAAAUUGGGUGGUAAACUCCAUCUAAAGCUAAAUAUUGGCGAGAGACCGAU
rnacentral:rRNA from 1 species